rnacentral:miRNA from 5 species
AGACAUCAGAUAAAUCUGUCCU